GAAACCCAUGCAAGCCCUGGGAGGCUGUGGGCUGAUGGAUGUCCUGGGCUCGAGUCCCAGCCCUGGCCCUGUUGGGGGCCGAACAAGCCUGGACUGACAGGCUUGGGCUCUCCUCUCUUCACCUGCCAUGACUCCUGCUGCCAGGGACACCAAGGUACCUUUGCCCCCUCCGUGGCACCCUGAGAACCAGCUGCCCCGGGCAGCUGUCAGUACGGCCCCUGUCAGUGCCGGACCUUGCCUGGCCCAGGCCUGGCUGCAUCCCCCUCACUGCGCUUGCUUUCCAGGUCCUGGGGCCUCCAGCUCGGCAGGGGGCAGUCAGAUCCCCAACCAGACCCCAACCAACGCCCGCAGGCCUGGCCCUUCCACAAACUUGCCAGCGACCCGGGGACCCUGGACCCCAUGGUGACAGCAGGGCCUGCCUUCCCCACCAGCUGGCUGGGCUGUCCUGCCUGGACCCUGGACCCUGGCUCAGAACGUGGUUGUUGCUGGGCAUCCCUGAGCUGAGAGCACCCUGCCCCACGGGCCUCCGAGGGCACGGGGACCCCAGCAGGGCUGGCCAUUUAUUCCCGCGCUGUGCCUGAAACGUGCAAUUAACACAGGCUGGUUAAUUACCCCGAGCAAGGAGACAUUCUUCCACCACCAGGCAAACUGCUGGCCUGCAGCCCAAACCAACAGGGGGAAACUUCAGCCGCCUCGGCCCUCUCUCUGCCAGAUGGAAAUAACGUAUAGCUGCAGCGGUGGGGGAGGAGGGAGGAACAAAAACCAGCUCGGCCCGGGGGCCAGACCGGAACCCCAGUGGACGGCCAUUGGCCAGGGCACUCACCGCUCUCGUUCUUCUCGAUGACAUCCACCACCUCCCCGGCCUGGAGGCUCAGCUCCGAGUUCUCCUGCUUCUUAUAGUUGGACACCACCACGUACUGUUCCAGGAUCAUGGGCUCGGCGGUGGCGUCGGCACCUGGCGAGGGCAGAAAGCACGCGAGCCCCUGGCUGGACCUGCUGGGGUCCCAGGGGUCCCCUGGACCCCUGCCCCACCCUUGCCUCACAUCUGCAUUCCUUCAACUACCACCUGGAUGGAACCCUGGCUGCCAACUUAAACUUCUCAACUGGGCUUUUGCCAAGUCAGUCCCAUGCUCCAACGCCUUCCACGGCUCCCUCUUGCCUAUAAAGGACAAAUUCAAGCCCA